AAAUUGAAGAGUUUGAUCAUGGCUCAGAUUGAACGCUGGCGGCAGGCCUAACACAUGCAAGUCGAACGGUAACAGGAAGCAGCUUGCUGCU
rnacentral:rRNA from 10 species